GAUGAACGCUGGCGGCGUGCCUAAUACAUGCAAGUCGAGCGAACGGACGAGAAGCUUGCUUUUCUGAUGUUAGCUGCGGACUGGUGAGUAACACGUGGAUAACCUACCUAUAAGACUGGGAUAACUUCGUGAAACCGGAGCUAAUACCGGAUAAUAUUUUUAACCGCAUGGUUCAUAAGUGAAAGACGGUCUUGCUGUCACUUAUAGAUGGAUCCGCGCUGCAUUAGCUAGUUGGUAAGGUAACGGCUUACCAAGGCAACGAUGCAUAGCCGACAUGAGAGCGACAUUGGCUAGCCUGGCAAAGAGAAACGGCCCAGACAUCGAGGGGAGGAAGCAGUAGGGAAUCUUACGGGAUGGGGCAGAGCCUGACGGAGGACAGUGGGGGGAGUGAUGAAGCACUUAGGAUGGUAAAACUAUGUUAUUAGGAAAGAAGAAAAGUGUAAGUAACUGUGAACAUAUUGACGGUAACUAAUCAGAAAGCCACGGCUAACUACGUG
rnacentral:rRNA from 1 species